rnacentral:antisense_RNA from 1 species
CAUCAUGGCGGCUGUGUGCGGGCAGGCUUCGGCGUGUCCGGGUUCCAAGGUUCCCGGUAGACCUACCCCGCACACAGUUGCCACUCAA